ensembl:snRNA U6 U6 spliceosomal RNA
GUCCUCACUUUGGCAGCACAUAGACUAAAACUGAAAGGACACAGAGAAGAUUAACAUGGCCCCUCUGCAAGGAUGACAUGCAAAUUCGUGAAGUGUUCCAUUAAAAA